CCUACUUAUCUAUUACUCAUAUUUAUUUAUUAAUAAAGCUGUGUGUAAAACACACCCAAACACGUAUAUUAAUCAUGUAAUAGUUCCUUUUAUUAGUUGAACUUGAAGGAAAUGCAUUUGCCUUUCACCUUCAGCCAAAAAUAGAUCUAAAGUGUGUUUUAGAUUUUCAAAAUGGCUGAAAACUUCUCUAACGGAGACAUGCAAUGAUAAUUAAAUGCAUUUAAGAAAAAAAACACAUUAAAGGGUCUUAGAAUUACAUUUUAACAAAUCAAUAUAAUAACGAAUACAUAUAGUCCAAAAGUUUAAUUUCGUUCAUAUAAUAAUAUAUUCCAUAUAAUUAAGAUAGAUAAAUUAAUGUAGUUCGAAUAAUUUAAAUAGUAAUUAAAUGAUUCAUUUAGUAAAUUGCUAAUCGCUAAAUACCUAUCGUCCACACUCCAGUGGCUUUGGGGAAAAAAAAUAUAAAUUGAUAACUGCUCUCUCUAUAAUUUUGAAUUAGGUUGUGAGGGAAUAAUCAAGGCAUUUUGAUUUUGACCUUUCAAUUAUAUUGCACCAAUAACAAUUUAUUUGCUAAAAAAAUUGGAAAAAAGAUAAUAGAAAGAGAUGGAACAGGGAAAAUUUAUUUCUUUUGUUUUAACUGAAAAAGAGUACAUUGUUGUCCUAUAUAAAUUUGAUUUCAAUUUUUAAAACGCAAAGGUAGGUCUGGGAGCGGUUUGAUUUGGGUUGGUUUUGACUCUAACUCGAAACCAAAACCAAUUUAAUCGGUUUGGGUGAAUUUCAACCCAAACCAACCCACUAUAACUCUUAAACCGAAUCGGUUUGGUUCGGUUCGGUUCGGUUCGGUUAAUUGGUUUGGACUUUUAGUCCAACUUGAAUUAAAAAAAAAAUUGUCAAAGUUUCGGGCCCGAUUAGAUUACAAGAGCUAAAAUAGAUAAAUAACUUUAUAUUACAAAAAUUAUUGACUAACAAAUAAAAUCAGGUUAAUAGAAAUAGAUCAACAGAAGACUUAAGAAUUUUGUUAUCUUUUUAUGCAUUAUGUAAUCUGAUUGCCCGAGUAAGAGAAAAAGGCUAAUUACAAUAUAAUGAACUUGUGAAAAGAAAUUUUUAGUAUUAUUACUCAUAGGCAACAUCACAGAUUGGAGAGAAUUGUAAUAUAAUUACGAAAUUAGGGCUUAUUUUUUUAAUAUUUAUUUUUCUUUUAAAAAAAAGAUAAACAUGUAAGUGGAUUGGGUUGGUUCGGUUAACUAAUGGUUUAAGGUUUCAAAUCUUGACCGAACUAGCCUACCAUGGUUUUGUUUAAAAGAAAAUCAAACCAAACCAAUUAGCUGUGUAAAACCGACCCAAAUAGACACGAGUUGGUUCGAUUUGAUUGGUUUAAUCGAUUUUUCAGUUAUUUUGCCCAGGCCUACGCAAAGUUGGACCACUAAGACUAGUAAUGCAACAAAAGUCAAAGGUUGAUGAUCAAAAUGUCCAUACUUAAAGGUUAAGUACGAAUUGGACAAAUAGAACAUAGAUUGGGAUCAACAUGUAAUUUUCCCCAUAUUAAUUGCACAUAAGAAGAAUUAACUUCCAUCCGAAUAAUCUGACCAGAAUAGCUGAGUCUCCGAUUAUUAAAUUUAUAAUAAAUUCAUCAAUCAUUACAUUUCAUUGUAUUGACAAGUAAUCAUUCCUAUCUAUUUAUAAAACGAACCGUUUAUAUAACUUUUCCAAAUGAAGGCUAAAAAAACUAGUAACACAUUAACUCAGUACCUGUUUUCUUGACUAUUUAUCUACUUUAGUAGACACUAUCAAGGAUAAAUCAAUCAUGUCUGGAUCUUUUCUCAGUUUGUACUUUUUACAAAGGUUUCUAUUGAUGCUCAUUUAGAAAAAUAAUUGAAGAGUUAGAUAACAACAUUAUUAGCAGUAAUUAAUACUAAGCAGAGAAAGAUGGAAACGGCAAUUACAAAUGUUAAAAAGAAACAGUCACAUUGGAGGUUACCUUUUAGUUUGACGAUAUCAAUCUAAGCCUUCCAAUGAUGUUAACAAGAAGCUUGGAAAAUAUAACAAAAAUGAAGUUAUGAGAGAGAGAGAGAGAGAGAUGGCAUAUAAA
rnacentral:lncRNA from 1 species